GAGAAUGUGGCAGCUGAAGGGGGAGAGGCCAAGAAAGAGGCCAAGGGUGAAGACAUUUAGCUACCCCCCUUGAAGUACAUGGCAGCAUUCAACCCUCUUGGUGAGCUGCAGGAAUGUGCUUCCCAGUGCAGUGCACCAGCUCCAUGUACUGAUUUUGGGUGUGAACUUGAUGGGGUUGGAGGAAACUCGACUCGGCCAUCAAGCUCACCACAAUAUAACAUGAAAAGUGAAAAUUGCUGCACACAACAGUCUGCCGUCUGCACCGGGAGGCAAGGCAGCUCAAAGCCCAGGCUGUUACAACUCCUGGGCAGUUUUUGCCCAGAGCCAGCAAUUUUUUAGAUCCAAUAGGGAUGGAUUUUUUCUGAGGUCAGGUUCAACAUGCUGCAAGAUGCCAAGAUCUAAGCCUAGUAGAAGAUAUGGGUUACAAGAGAGGAGGUUUGCUCUGGCCUUAUACUAUCAAAGUCCAAAUGCUAAUAGAUUUCUGAGCACAGUAUUUCACUUGCCUUCAAUUUCAACACUUCACUCAUGACUCAGGGGUAUUUCAGUACAUGUUGGCUGGAGCAAACAGACUCUGACAGCCCUGCAGCAAAAAGCACAGGCUUUGUCAUAAGAAGAGAAACUUCGUGGGAUUUGCCAUUAUUUAGUAUUACUCUUGUUACGCCAAGAAUUUUUUACCAUAUACUUUGCCAAAUAUUGCAAGUAAUGCACCAUUGUUGGGCUUGCUUGUUAUAAAUCAGAUCUUGUUCAGUUAACAAGCUUUAAGUGUCUGCCACUUUCCAAUUGUAAUGCAAGGAAUCCCCUGCCAGAUAUCACAUGUAAUGCACCAUUGUUGGUUUUGCCUGUUAUAAAUCAGAUCUUGUUCAAUUAACAAGCUUUAGGUGUCUGCCACUUUCCAGUUGUAAUGCAAGGAAUCCCCUGCCAGAUAUCGCAUGCAAUGCACCAUUGUUGGUUUUGCCUAUUAUAAAUCAGAUCCUGUUCAGCUCACAAGCUUUGAAUAUCUGCCAUUGUUUAUUUCAGGUGUAAUGCUUGGAAACAUUUGUUCUCUUCCCUACCCAACAGUAUGCAAUACUUUAUUGUGGAUUUUGCCUGUUAUGUUUAAUCUUGUUCAGGUAACAAACUUUUGGUGUCUGCCUUACCUAAUAUGUGCUGCAGUGACACUUGGCUUGGUUUCAUGAUGUGAAAUACAGCAUGUAAUUUCACCACACUAAGUGUCUAUUAUUACGUGUCUGGCAUCAUUAAUGUGGCUUCCAGGAGUAAUCUUGUUUGUAUUACAGCAUGCAAUUUUUUUUCUGCUUUAUAUGAUAUACAUAAUCACAUAGGUAUGAUUUACAAAAUGUAAUGGCAGUUGAUAUUCUUGACUAAUGCCUCAUAAACCGUGUGAAAAAUAAUGCUCUUUUGAAGGGGGGUGGGGGGGGGGGUGGACAAAGAGUGGUUUGUUUGGUUGGCCAGUUCAAGGAGUUUCAUAUCAAAUGAUUUUAUUACAUCCAACUUUAAUGUGUGCUAAAAACAUAUAUUUUAUUACAUCCAACUUUAAUGUGUGCUUCCUGCAAUAAAUGCUACAUGUUUACUGAUGUAGCCUAUGAAAUACAUAUCACUCUCUGCCCUGUAAUUUAAUUGGUGUGUCACAUACUGCAGCAUAACUUUCCUGCUAUUUUCUUACACUAUGAGUUGCCUUAUUUUGUCUCAUUUGCUUUUAUCAUAUGUGCCUCCGCUGCAUAGUUGUGCCUACUGAGCUUAAUAUCUUCAUGACCCUGACACCAAGGUCAGAGCUUGUGAGAUCAUACCGUGUCCUACAUUCCAUUUUCACCUCCAGGCUUGGCUGUCUCCCAGGACCACCAAGUUAUUGCAUUCCAUUUAAGACAACUCAUGUGUUACCUUCUUAAUGUCCUCCAUCAUGUAUUUCAGCAUGUUUUAUGAUGC